UGGGCUCCAUCUGUCCCAUUAAGUUCCUAAAAAUUUAAUUAACUGGUUCGUGAUUAAAUUUCAAAGAAUUCAAGCUUGUUUACUUGUUUGUGGAAUUUCAUGAAAUUUGAAUACUUCAAUAAACUUGUGCAAAUGGAAAUUCUUACCUUUUUCGAGUCUUAAUUUCCACUGCUGGUAAGUUAUUUUGACAAGAUUUCCUUUUGCAUUUUGCAGGCUGAAGAAAGAUGCCACCCGAAGUGUUUGAUAUUUACAAAGGCAACAAGUUCAUCCAAGGAUCUAGCUAGUGAAGUGUUUGAUAUGUCUGAAUGGGGCUGCUUAAACUUACUAGUUGUGUAAGUCUUUUGCUUCCUUCCCAUAUGGCUUCCCAAUUCCACUGGCAUCGGGUUGAUAUUUGUAUGUCCCUUUACUACGGCAUCUGGUUGACUCUCAUUUUGCAAUUAAAUGCAUGCAAAGACAUCUCUAAUUGAAAAAAAGAUCAAUUCAAUUCUCAACUGAUCAUAUAUCAC
rnacentral:lncRNA from 1 species